rnacentral:rRNA from 1 species
UCUGGUUGAUCCUGCCAGUAGUCAUAUGCUUGUCUUAAAGAUUAAGCCAUGCAUGUCUAAGUAUAAACACUUGUACUUGUGAAACUGCGAAUGGCUCAUUAAAUCAGUUAUAAUUUAUUUGAUGGUCUCUUUACUACUUGGAUAACCGUGGUAAAUCUAGAGCCAAUACAUGCAUAAAAUCCUGACUAGUGCGCUUUAUAGUACUGGGAGGGAUGUAUUUAUUAGAUUCAAAAGCCAAUGCCAUCUUCUUCGGAGGGUGGAAAUUCUUUCAAUGGUGAUUCAUGAUAACUUUACGAAUCGCACGGCCUUUUGUGCUGGCGAUAGUUCAUUCAAAUAUCUGCCCUAUCAACUUUCGAUGGUAGUAUAGAGGACUACCAUGGUGGUAACGGGUAACGGAGAAUCAGGGUUUGAUUCCGGAGAAGGAGCCUGAGAAACGGCUACUACUUCCAAGGAAGGCAGCAGGCGCGCAAAUUACCCAAUCCCGACACGGGGAGGUAGUGACAAAAAAUAACAAUACCGGUCUCUAAUGAGUCUGGUAAUUGGAAUGAGUACAAUCUAAACCUUUUAACGAGUAUCAAUUGGAGGGCAAGUCUGGUGCCAGCAGCCGCGGUAAUUCCAGCUCCAAUAGCAUAUAUUAAAGUUGUUGCAGUUAAAAAGCUCGUAGUUGGAUUUUGAAGCUAACAUAUCGUGACCCGCCUUUUUAGGGUUGUUUGUUGUGGUAUGUUCUUCUCCUUACUAGACUUUCACUAUUGCACUUAAUUGAGUGAUAGUUUUGCUUCGAUUUGUCGGGGUGAGUGAUGGGCGGACCUAUUGGGUUAGGAUUGUGGAUGAGGCGCUUCUUCGGAGGAGUCUUGUUCUGCCUGAUUCAGUAACCGUCCAUUAGAAUUCUAGUUCUUUUACUUUGAGUAAAUUAGAGUGUUCAAGGCAAGCAAAAUUACUUUUUCUGCAAUGAAUACUAUUAGCAUGGGAUAAUGGAACAGGACACGUAUUCUAGUUUUUCGUUGGUUUCUAGAAUUUUUAUUAUUAGUGUAAUGAUUAAAAGGGACAGUUGGGGGCAUUCGUAUUUCAUUGUCAGAGGUGAAAUUCUUGGAUUUAUGAAAGACGAACUUCUGCGAAAGCAUUUGUCAAAGAUGUUUUCAUUAAUCAAGAACGAAAGUUAGGGGAUCGAAGACGAUCAGAUACCGUCGUAGUCUUAACCAUAAACUAUGCCGACCAGGGAUUGGAAGACGU